UACGGGGGGGGGGCAAGCGUUGUUCGGAAUUACUGGGCGUAAAGGCUCGUAGGCGGCCAACUAAGUCGGAUGUGAAAUCCCCAGGCUCAACCUGGGAACUGCAUCCGAUACUGGAUGGCUUGAAUUCGGAAGAGGGAAGCGGAAUUUUCGGGUGUAGCGGUGAAAUGCGUAGAUAUCCGAAGGAACAUCAGUGGCGAAAGCGGCUUCCUGGUCCAGCACCGAGUUCAGG
rnacentral:rRNA from 1 species